rnacentral:lncRNA from 1 species
AUCAAGAACUCAGAACUUCCUCCUACUGUUCUGUUUAGCAAGAAACUAACAAACAGCGAUAUGGCGGCGUAUGCUGCUGUGACUUCACUUCUGCAUACCCUGGAUAAUCUAUCUCAAACUCAUACAUCACAUUCUCUUCUUUACAAAAAAGAGCAAACUGAAGUCCUCAGUGACAAGUACACCUUCCUUAAAACCUUUCUUGAGGAUUUUACUAAUAUUUUCAAUGAAGAUAUAAAGAUGAAGCAUCUGGAAAGGAUGAUCCAAGAAGCUGCUAAUGGAGUGGAAGAUACCAUCGACUCACAUGUAUAUGAUAGCUCUGUCGUAGUACAAAGCAAGCGAGUACGAAGAAAGGCUGAUAUGAUCUUUCAUCAAAACUUGGAAUAUGCAAUAGAGGAAAUUGGUUUGAUACAAAGAGAGGUAAUGAAAAAGAUAAAGGUCAGCAGUUUUAACAGAAAAAUCUCACAUUCAAGAGAUACUUCUUCCUCACAGUUCCCUUUGGAUCAAAAAGAUAUAAUCGUUGGACUAGAUGAAGAUUUACUAAAGAUAAAAGAUCGACUCAUNNNNNNNNNNNNNNNNNNNNNNNNNNNNNNNNNNNNNNNNNNNNNNNNNNNNNNNNNNNNNNNNNNNNNNNNNNNNNNNNNNNNNNNNNNNNNNNNNNNNNNNNNNNNNNNNNAAAGUCGAAUCGUGUUGACCACAAGGCUUGUAGAUGUUGGGUCGUGUGCUUGCUCUGGCAAUUCCCUUCACCAGAUGCGUUUUCUGAGCAUGGAGGAAAGCUGGACUCUUUUACGCGAUAAGGUUUUUGGGAAUGGUGGUUACCCUCCGGAAUUGGAGAAAAUUGGGAGGUACAUUGGCCAUCAGUGUCAAGGGUUGCCACUUGCAGUUGUUGCAAUUGGUGGACUACUUUCCAAGAUGAGCAAGGAAACAAGUUCUUGGGAGAAUGUUGCAGAAAAGGUAGGAUCACUUAUGACAAGUGACACUAUGGAUUGCUUGAACAUACUUUCUUUGAGCUACAACCACUUGCCUCAGUACUUGAAAACAUGCUUCCUUUAUAUGGGAGUUUUUGCAGAAACUCGUGAGAUCCCGGUCUGGAAGUUAAUAAAGUUAUGGAUUGCUGAGGGCUUCGUCAAGAAAGUUAAUCAUAAAAAUCUAGAAGAUGUGGCAGAGGAAAAUUUGAGGGAGUUGGUUGAUAGAAGUUUGGUUUUGGUGGGGAAGCAUACUUCCCUAGGAAAAAUCAAGACUUGUAAGAUGCAUGAUCUCGUUCGAGAUAUGUGUUUGAGAGAAGCCCAAUAUGAGAAUUUUAUACACUUCAAAACAAGGUAUGACCAUGAUGAUCUUCUAGAAAACAUUAGUUGUCUACGUCGUGUAGCUGAUUUCCAUAAGUAUACACACAGUGGACUUUCUAAACUUAUGCCACUCACACGUUCUGUUUUCUUCAAAUAUCCAUACUUUAUUUGUUACCUCUCACAGUCGAGCUUUAGAUUACUUAGGAUAUUAGAUGUUUGCUUUACUACUUCUUUGGACAGUAGUCAGUCCAUAUCAGAACUUGUUCAUUUGAGGUAUCUUGCUUGUCCGUUUUUCAAUGGUCUUGUACAAUCACUAUGCAAGCUACGGAAUAUACAGAACUUCACAUCCAUUUGGUUUAAGUAUGAGAACCCAGUCCCUACCAUGGGAAGUUGUGAAUAUGCCUCAACUAAAACAUAUCCAUACAAAAAAGUUGAGUCUUUUCAUAUCCCCACCUACAUCAGUAUUAAUUUCUGAGAGGGAGAAUCACUUACAAACGUUAACCGGAUUGAUGCCCUCAUCUUGUAACGAUGAGGUGUUUCUACGAAUUCCAAAUUUGAAGAAGUUGGGAAUUUUAAUUGUUGAUGAUUCAGACACUAUUCAGAAGUGUUAUUGUCUUGAUAAUCUUGUACAUUUAACUCAGCUUGAGAAGCUCAAAGUUGAGGUCAGCGAGAGUUAUCUGCUAAUUUUUAUGCGGAUUAGCGAAGGUUGGGUGGACAUUCCACAUUGUGACAAUUUCCCACCAAACCUUAAGAAGUUAACAUUAUGCAGAACACACCUACAAUGGGAAGACAUGAACAUUCUCAGAAAAUUACCUAAUCUUGAGGUGCUCAAACUUAAACAUCAUGCCUUUGACGGACUAACUUGGAUACUAAGCGAUGAAGACGAAGAUGGAUUCUUGAAGCUAAAGUUUUUACUUCUUGAGCACAUGCAUCUGAAGCAAUGGGAAGCAACAAGUUAUCAUUUUCCAAGCCUUGAGCAUUUAGUCCUAACAGAUUGCUAUUCAUUGGAGCAAAUUCCUUUAGACUUUGCAGAGAUUCAAAUACUACAGCUGAUUGAACUACACAAAUGUAUGCUUUCUGUUCUUAUUUCAGCAGAGCAAAUACAAGAGGAGCAACAAAGCUUGGGAAAUGAUGACCUUGUUAUUCGUGUGAACUAUAUACGUGAGUAAACAUUAAUAAAGAAGUUACACAUUUUCAUCUAGAAAAGCAUAAAAAAUCAUUUUCGUUCUUCCUAAUAUAUGUGUGUUCAUUUUUUCAUUUAUUUAUACUAUAAAAGGUGCUAAUUACAAUUGGUUUGCAAGAGUUGAUCAAGGCAUUGCAAAAGAGAAGUCACAACAGCAUAUGCCGCCAAUCGCUGUUUGUUUCUUACCAAAACAUGGUAGAUUAGGGAGUUCUGAGUUCUUGAUCAAGAUGCCCAAACUAAAGUCAAUUCACUAAGCAUUUUCUUUAGAAAGAAAAGAAGUGUACAAAAUGUUUUUUUAUAAGAUUCAAGUUGGAAUAAACAACACAUUAUAGUCAAACUGAGAAAUGGUAUACAAUAUUGAAUUUUCAACUUCACAGAUAAAAUCACUGUUAAAUUUGUCUAGGGUUGUCAAAAUCAAACCCAACCCGUUUAAGUUUGGGCGGGUUAUUGACCCCCCCAUUCAUUAGCUUAACCCAUUAAAAAUUGACUUGAUAUGUAACCCGAAUUGGCUCAUGAGAAAUCUUGUCAAAAUAUUUUUAAAGAACUUUUUAUUCAAUUUGAUAGGUUAUAUAUAGCCAUAAUAGAAUAAAAUAAUUUUAUUAGGUACUAAAAUAGUUUAAAAGAACAAAUAAAUUCAUUAAGCUUAGUAAAAAUUGAGUUGGGUUGAUCUUGACCCGUUACCUAAUCCGUUUUGGCCCGUGCAAAUUUGAGUUGGGUUGAUAUUUAAUUCAUUACCCAAAUUCGAACCAACCCACUCAAUUGCCAUCCCUAAAUUUGUCUUACCUUUCCCUCCCCAAUUACCUCUUUAAAAAUUGGCACAAAUGAAGAAAGUGCAUUGACCCAAAUGAGGAAAUCAGUUGAAAAGCUUGGAUCUUACACUGAAGUAAGAAAAAAUGAGUUCCCUUUUCCUCUUUUAGUGUAAAGUUCAAAUCUUUGUACUGGUAAUCAGUUUUUUUUUUCUUUUGCAGAGUUAUGGAGAGCAACACUUAUGAGGUUCUUGAUUGCAAGAGUAAUUUCGUUCCCCUCAUAGUAAAGUUUCCUUUUUUUUCUCAAUACAUUGCAUUUUUGUUGUUGUUGAUCUUGUUUGUGCUUAGUUAUUUAUUUCAUAAUGUCACCCUUUUCUUGAUUCCAAUUUUUUUUGACAAAGAAAGUCACUUUAUGAAAUAAUAAUUAUUAGUUGAAUGACCAUCUUAGAAAUGAACUCGUUUUUCUAUAAGAAAUAUUCUUGUUGGUUCACUCAAUGAUGCCUUUUCAUCUUUUAUUAUCUUUAAUUUAGUCACUGUUAUGAAGUUUCAAAUUUCACAGAUCAAACUCCAGGAUAUUGUCAUGGAGUAAAAGUAACUUGUAGAAUUUGAAAUUACCUUACAAUAGUUAUUUUUCAAAGAUAUGACCGAAAAAAGGACUUUUCUCCAGUAUGAAUGCAGUUUGGACAAGUUGUAUGACUUUGGGCCUCAUUUGACAAACUAUUCCAAUUUGCUUUUUUGAACAAGUCUUAUAUACCAUUUAAGUCUCAAUGAACAAAUCCAACUAUGUGACUUAUCUUUACAUAGCCUAAAAGUCUUGAAUUCCCAUCCAUUACAUUGGCUUUGGCCUUUGGGCAUCUAAAUCAAGAACGCAGAACUUCCUAGUAUUCCACAUUCAUCCUACUGUCCUAUUUAGUAAGAAACUAACAAACAGCGAUAUGGCGGCGUAUGCUGCUGUGACUUCACUUUUGCAUACCCUGGAUAAUCUAUCUCAAACUCAUACAUCACAUUCUCUUCUUUACAAAAAAGAGCAAACUGAAGUCCUCAGUGACAAGUACACCUUCCUUAAAACCUUUCUUGAGGAUUUUACUAAUAUUUUCCAUGAAGAUAUAAAGAUGAAGCAUCUCGAAAGGAUGAUCCAAGAAGCUGCUAAUGGAGUGGAAGAUACCAUCGACUCACAUGUAUAUGAUAGCUCUGUCGUAGUGCAAAGCAAGCGAGUACGAAG